rnacentral:lncRNA from 1 species
GUAAAGCUUAGUGAAGAAGAAAUGAAAGAUGCCUACCACCAGACUCUCCACUUGAUGCAGCAGUUGUACAAGGAAUGCACCCUUGUGCACGCCGACCUCAGCGAGUACAACAUGCUGUGGCAUGCUGGGAAGGUAAGUGGCACAGUUAGUUUAUAUCCAGGUUACAUUUCCUGAUGUGAGUCAGUGAGUGUAAACACAUUGAUUUAUGCUCUGUGUUUACUAGGUCUGGUUGAUUGAUGUCAGUCAGUCGGUAGAACCGACCCAUCCUCAUGGCCUGGAGUUCUUAUUCCGUGACUGUAGGAACGUUUCACAGGUAGGCGUGCAAAGCAGUGUCUUUCAAAGGACCAACAGGUUCAAAUAUUUUCUCACUCCUAAGAGAACCAUGUUUGUAGAAAUUUAAGGAAGGGAUACCAGCUCCCUUGCUGAUAAGGAGAUAAAGGAGACAUUUUCUGAAUUCAUUCAUGGACUCUUGAGCCUGUGACUCUCAUAACCUGCUUCUAAGGUCUUAGUGCAUAAACCAACGGUGGGAUGUGGUAAGCCUGCUGCUUCCUGCCACGUUGCUCUGUGAUAGAUGAGGAGGAGCAGUGCCUGGUCACUCUCACUUCGCAUUUUGCUAGCAGGAGAACCAAGUGAGAGAAUAACUGUACUAGAGUUCUUCCAGAAGGGAGGAGUAAAGGAAGCCCUUAACGAGCGGGAGCUGUUCAAUGCUGUUUCUGGCCUGAGCAUCUCAGCAGACAAUGAAGCUGACUUCUUAGCUGAGAUAGAAGCUUUGGAGAAAAUGAACGAAGAUCAUGUUCAGAAGAAUGGAAGGAAAGCAGCCUCGUUUCUGAAAGAUGAAGGAAGUCCACCCAUGCUGUAUGCAGAGUAGUCCAGCAGAGAUGGCCAGCUGCCACAGCCAGCGAGUGGGUGACCUGACAGACCAAAGCAGGAGUGGACAGCGCUGCUUCUGUGCUCCUCACUCUGACCCACGUGCCAGAUGUGUGCAAUUUUUAACUCGGCAUUGAAAGAAUAAAAUGUCACUACCUCUCAUCUUACAAAAAGGAUAAUAGAAU